rnacentral:lncRNA from 1 species
CAUUUGUGUUGACAAAAUCCAAAAUUAUGAGAAUAUGAAAAGAAUAAGCGUAGCCUCUCCGAGAAAAAUUAUACAGCGUCAAGCAUACUCAGAUAAGAAAAAUUCACUACGUACAAGUUUGAAUUGUGCUACUUGUAUUUACAGAAUAUGUGUUGUCAAAUUAAUAAAAAUGUUUCCAAAUUAGUGAAAAGCAUGUAUCCUACUGCUUGGAAUAAGGUUCGGAUGAUAUUUUGUACAUUUUCUGACUUUAAAAGAAAAAAAAAACAUGUUAUUAUUAAGAAAUAGAGAAAAUAAUAUGUUUUAAUAUUAACAAUAUCCAAUGUUCACAAUAAGUAGUUUUGUGUUCGAUAAGCAUCGAUUUCAGAUGGAAAGAGACAUAUUUAAGCAUCUUAAAGCAUCCGGAAACUACAAGCGCCGAUCCAUUGAGAACCACUGCCGCAAUCAGAAAGCCCAGAUAAGACUGAUGACAAAAUACGGAAACGCUUCCGUAAUUUUAUCACUUCGCACACGCGUGUGCAUUAACGUACGAUGGGAAGGAUGUACGAGGGGAAAGGAAAACAGAUAUUUAAUACACACACAUGAUGGUCCAUUCAUCCCCGUCGGAAUGAUGACUGCGCUGAUCUGCUGAAAUUGUCAUACACACGUGCAUCCGCAUACACACAUUCGCACUCGAUAAUUUAUGAAUUAUAAACUUGUUUUUGUAACCUACUUCUUCCGAAGAAUUGACGGAAGUGCGAUAAAAAAAAAUUUUGAGCAACGUUUGUAUGAAUCAAAACUGCAAACCGAUUAUCAAUUCGUAUUAUCUCAUCCACCGUGUGCAGUGAUUGGAACACGUUACACUGCGACAUACUGUUGAAUUUAGUUGCAUUGUCGUCGACUGGAUUGCGCGAUGUACUGUCAUCGGCAGAACAUUGAAGCGCCAUUUCAUUAGCAAAAGGACAAGAGAAAGCGCGGCCAAUUUCCACAUCACAAUUACGUGUAUUUUACAUCAACGAACGCGUAAUAAAUUUACUUUUGAGUCCCGUAAUUUCUGCAAUUUAUUUCAUCCAUAUUUUUACUCCUUGUGCUGCAUCCGCGAUUUCAUAAUACAGCUGUCGUAUUAUACAGGUUUAUUCAGAAGAGUGAUUUUGGAAGAAGAAUUAUUCCUGCGAUGUAGCACGUGCAUUCAUACAACAUAACGAGAAAUUAAUUCUGUAUGUCGAGCAUUUUUGCAAUUAAAAUGUUAAAUUAUUAAAUAAAAUUUUAUAAUAGGCAAAAUCACUUCUAUUUUAGCUUUCUAAAAUAAUUCGAAGAUUAAAAAAAUUCCACAUUUAAUAAGAUAUUUAAAAUACUUUAAUAAUUGGAACUUUUUUUAACUUUACUUUAAGUUGCUAAUAAAAAACAGUGUCUCUCAAUGUCGUGACAAUUAAAUUGUAGACUCAAGAAAUCACACCAUUUCGCGGAUCACGAAAGAAAGGUGCAAUAAGGCGCGGCUCGUAAUAAGGAAAGACCGUCAAUUUGUCGACCACACUGUAUUUCCGGUGCGAAAUAAGCGGACGCGCUCCUCCUUGCCGUACAAGGAGAUUGACUCAUACGACAACGUAGGAGGAGCCAGAUGAACCUAGCCCACUAUUCAAUACACGAUGAUUCUGUUUGGAAACUAGACUCUCAACCGGUUUAUUCAAUUACCUUACCGCAUUAUAUGUGUAAAUUUAAAAAUACAUCUUUUUCGUCGAUAAAAAAUAUAUAUUCUGUUCUAAUUCGAAAUUUCCUUACAUAUUAUUAAAAUUAUGCAAAUCAAGUUGAUUGUUAAUAGAAAACCUCAAUUUAAUAUAAAAGGAUAAAUUUCUUUUUAUAUUCGCAAUUAAAGCAGUAGUCAUUGGCGCUUAAAUGGGUCCAUUUAAAUUUGACUCCUAGUACAAACUUGCCAAUAACGUGACAAUACUGGUUGAUUUGUUGCCAGGAAGACUAAACAUAUCCUACAUUGUUAUAAUGUUAAAAUUAUAUAUAUAUAAUAUUGUAAAAGUAAUAAUUUUCCGAUCCAAUAAUUUAGAUUAAUUUUUUUAAUCAAAGUGAUUGCUAAUAACAUUUUUUUUAAAUAUAUACUUUUGAAACUGUUUAAAAAAAUAUAUUGAAAAAUUUUUAUAAAAAAUUUCAGGUACAUAAGUUAAAAAAAAAAUACAAACUUAAAGAUUCAAGAAUCUUUGUGUCAAAUGAGUCAACGUUUAACAACCUAUAUUUAACUCAAUUCUUUCACAAAAAUGGUGGGCAAUCGAUUUUCAAUUUAAAAAUUAAUGCAGUUGUAUCAAAAAUUGGAAUUUAUUUCAGGAAUGUUGUUGAAUAGUACUUUAAUUUAAUUUUUCUCACAAAAAUAGUCGGUAACCAAUUUUCAAUUCUUUUUUUGAAAAAUAAAUACCAGUUUGGGCAAAAUUAUAUAAAAAAAUUGAAAUUUACUUAAAAACUUUUCUUUGAUAUAACAAUAAAACUAUCUUAAAAUUAUUUUAUUAGUUUGAUUGUUCUCAGUGAUCGAAAAUAUGCCAAAAUUAAGCGUAUUUAACAGGGAUUGGGUACAUGAACAUUUACGUCGCAUAAUUAGAGCGCCGCUUUUACAAAUCGCAAGAAGAAAAGAGCGCGGAGAUACACAAUGGUUCUCGGUUCUUAAAAGGUAAGCGGCAUUUAUAAUUACCGCACUCCGAUUGUGCGCGAGUUCGGAGAAAAAGAAAGUAUUCUACGGAUCAUAAAACAUUAUGGCAAAUCCGCACUUGAUUUGGUCUCUUCGGCAAAAACAAACCUUACUCAGCGAAUCGUGAUAAACUAUAAGACGAAUUCUGAUUGUUUUUAUAUAAGGUAAAGAAAUAUGCGUAAAAACAAAGCCGUUUCUUUUGUUAUCGAGAUAAGUGUCAAGUCUUUGAAAUUGUAUCUAUUUAUAAAUUAACGUUUCUUAUUCGAUUUAUAAAAACUGAUAGAUACAAAGUAAGAUUAACUAAAUGUUACUAAUUCUUAAUUAUUAAAUGUAAUAACAGUAACUGCUUUGCUUUAUGCUACGUAUAAUAAUUUUUUUAAAAGGCAUCUCGUAAAUUUAAUCUCAUAAAACCCGAUAAGCCAAAAGGCUCGUCUUGCCUUAGAGAGAUUCGAAGAAACGUGUAAAAAGAUACCCCUAGCUCUCGUUCUUCGAUUAUUUUCUAGCCCUUUGGCGUUUGCACACUCAACCCAUCUUAAGAUUCUACGCGAAGAAAGAGAUUGCGAAUGCGUGGUGUUGUAGAGAUGCGAAGAACAGAGAGAGACAGAGAGAAUGGAUGAGAAGAACGUAGGAAUUGCGCUCGCAUGAAAGCGGAGAACGCGAAGAGCGAGGCGGCGAGGAAAGAACGAAAGACAAAGCCACCAUUACUCUUGUCUUCCAGCUGACGGUACGCGUCAUAAAGCUCCUAAUUAUUAAUGUACUUGCUAUAAGAUACGAUCCCGUGGCGCGAAAAAAAGCAAUUUAAUAAAGUCAAAUGACAAUUAUUGUUUUUGUGUAUGGCCAUUUCGUGUGUUAUUCGUACUUUGAAAUUUAUUGAGAGCUCGUUACCGUCGCUCAUUAAUUUUUUGCAUUGGCUAAAAGCUUUCAAAAACUUUCAUUACACUCGGUUCGUCGAAAUAAAGAAACCAUGUAAAACACGCAAAUUUUCAUUAAUUAACAAAAUUUUUUAAUUAUCUCUGUGUCUAUAUUUCAGCAUUCGUAUUAAUAUUUUUAUAUGAAUUUCAAUUAUUUAAUGAUGUAUUUUGUAACACAUACGAUAUUUCUGUCAUUAUCAAGAGUAAUUAAUCAAAGACGUUACAUAUUUUAAUAUAAAUAAUUGUAAUACAAACAAACGUUAUUUCGUUCCAUUUCCUCUUUCUCUCUCUCUCUCUCUCUCUCUCUCUCUCUCUUGCUCGCUGUCGGAUUAAAAAAAAAAAAUAUAAAAUUCUCUGAUUUCAAUAUACAUGUAACAGCACACAUAUGUGCACAUAAAAUAAAAUCAUAUGUAGUUUGAAAACAAAUUUUGAGAAACAAAUUUCUAAUGAAUUUUGAAUCUCUCGACUUCCCAGGCAAGAAAUGGGAUCGGGUAUUAGAGAGGUCAAAAUAGGUUCCCUUUUAACGACAGUGGUCGCAAUUAGAGAUAGUUACAUCGCGUGAAAUCAAAGUACAGGAGCUCGGAGUCGUCUUACAUCAUUAUUCGCUUGCGUUAGAUCGCAAUACAAAGAGAAUAUCACGUGAGCCGCCGCUCCGCGCCUUAAUUCGCUUCUCCUUUGUACCAACGUUAUUCCAUAUCCGGAACCGUCCGGAUAGGAUCCGCAAUCCAAUUCGCGGCGGCGAUUAACUAUUUUACACGGGGGAAAAAAAUCGGUCUCCAUAAGAGAGACGACGGCUUCGUCUUACACUAUAUCCGCACGCGAAUUACCCGGCGCUAUCAUUUCGGAUAUUACAUCCCCGCGAGGCGGCAAUUCUUUCGCAUCCGCUUCGGUUCCGCGUGAAAAAGGAAGAAGCUAAAACGACCGUUCCGAUGUGCGCGCGGUUCCGUAUUUGGGACGAUUUGCGUAUAAACGCCGCGCCCAUAUCUCUCUUUCCCCUCCCCUCCUCGUGGCGAUUCGUUCCGCCAAUUAAUCCACGUAACCGUUUCCUUCGCGCUGUGUUAUUAACGAUUACGGCCUCAAGGGAAACGUCGGUACAUCGAAAUUAUUUAAUAUCUCGACAAAUGGGCCUCUUUGAACGAACAACGGAAUCUGUCGUCCUCGCGCGCGUCUCGGAGGCGCAAAACAGGAGCGUGUAAGAUUUCUGGUCCGAUUACUUUGCUGCAGUCACUCUUUCGUGACACUACAAACAUAAAGAUCUAACGGUUAACGUUAUUCAAAUAAUUAUGCUGAGACAAUUAACCGCAUAUUUAUCCUUAUAUUGUAUAUAAGGGAAAAUAUAAUCAUCUACGAUCUAUAGAAAAGAUUCACGUAUCGUUUACAGUUAUUACCGUUUAUUCUAACGAUCUUUCCAACGUGUACUGAAUUUCUAUAUUCUGUCUAUUCUAUUUAAAAAUUAAAUAUCAUACAUCUCUGAAAAGACGCUACAGCCUGGGAUAAUAAUAUGUUUAAUACAUACGUUAACUUCUAUUCUGUUGAGUUAUAAAUAUCUGCAGAAAUAGAAUGCCAACUAAUGAGAAUUUUAAAUCAAGUUUCAUAUACUACAUGUGUACUUCAAUUAAUUUCUAUGCGUCAUCUCCCCACGCGUCGUCACCUCAACAGGCGAGCGCGAUUUAUAUUUGCAAUGUACCUUCGUUAUUUUUUUCCCCUAAUAUUUUUUCAUCUCUUUUUGCUGUGAAUGCGGAAUCACAGAAAACGCAAUUUCACCGCGCGUGAAAGAAUCGAGUCCCACUGGACAGUCGACUUCAGGUCGGCAUCAUAGGCGGACAGUGAUUUUUAAUUAAAUGCGGGGAUUUCAAUUAAAGCCGUCGACUGGACAGGCAACGUAGGCCCGUCAUUUUCUUUCUCUUCAUUCAUCCGCGCCAUUCACGGAGAGACGAUGGAAACGGGACGAUUCGAAUUUUAAAUCCGCUUCGAAAGCGCCGUAAAUAAUUCAUGUCUUAUCUCCAGAUCGAGAAAGAGAGUUCGAGGAAGAUUUGACAGUGUUAGCAGUGAUUCCGGAUAAGAAG